rnacentral:rRNA from 1 species
CCUACGGGAGGCAGCAGUGGGGGAUAUUGCACAAUGGGGGAAACCCUGAUGCAGCGACGCCGCGUGAGGGAAGACGGUUUUCGGAUUGUAAACCUCUGUCUUUGGGGACGAAUUGAGACGGUACCCAAGGAGGAAGCUCCGGCUAACUACGUGCCAGCAGCCGCGGUAAUACGUAGGGAGCAAGCGUUGUCCGGAAUUACUGGGUGUAAAGGGAGCGUAGGCGGGAUAGUAAGUUGAUUGUUAAAACUAUCGGCUCAACUGGUAGAUGCGAUCAAAACUGCAAUUCUUGAGUGAAGUAGAGGCAGGCGGAAUUCCUAGUGUAGCGGUGAAAUGCGUAGAUAUUAGGAGGAACACCAGUGGCGAAGGCGGCCUGCUGGGCUUUAACUGACGCUGAGGCUCGAAAGUGUGGGUAGCAAACAGGAUUAGAUACCCGAGUAGUC